AUCAAUUUGAAUUUUGAAUUUUGAAUUUGGUCGAAUUCAGAUUAGGAGAUAAAAGAAAUUCUGCCUAUUUCUUAAAGUGCACAUUUAGGGCAAUUGCAUCUAAAUUGAUUUGAUGUCAAAUCCUUCUUUUAACACCAGAAUUUUCGUCCAUAUUUCUGAUCUGAGAGAAAUUUACAUUUUUCUUUUCUGAUUCUAUUUGUGGGGUUUUGAUACUUUCCUUUUUGGGUAGAUUUAA
rnacentral:lncRNA from 1 species